rnacentral:RNase_P_RNA from 1 species
GGGUGAAAAGGUGCGGUAAGAGCGCACCAGUACAGCCGGUAACGGGUGUAGCUGGGUAAACCUUAGGCGUUGAAAGACCAAAUAGGCUGACAGCUCAGGGUACAGAAAACAGUUUGCAGUAAACAGUUACCAGUUUAUUCUGAUAAUUGAUAACUGCUCAUUGAUAACUGUAACCUGAUAAGGGCGGCUCGUCCGAUGUCAGUGGGUAGGUUGAUGGAGCCGGUGCGUGAGUGCCGGCCUAGAUAAAUGAUAAGACCGGAAGCUUUGCUUCCGGACAAAACCCGGCUUACAGGUUUGCUAUAUUU